rnacentral:ncRNA from 1 species
GGGCAUUCGUAUCAUUACGCGAGAGGUGAAAUUCGUGGACCGUAGUGAGACGCCCAAUACCGAAAGCAUUUGCCAAGAAUGUCUUCAUUAAUCAAGAACGAAAGUCAGAGGUUCGAAGGCGAUUAGAUACCGCCCUAGUUCUGACCGUAAACGAUGCCAUCUCGCGAUUCGGAGGGUUCAUGCCCUACCGAGGAGCUACCCGGAAACGAAAGUCUUUCGGUUCCGGGGGUAGUAUGGUUGCAAAGCUGAAACUUAAAGAAAUUGACGGAAGGGCACCACAAGGCGUGGAGCUUGCGGCUUAAUUUGACUCAACACGGGAAAACUCACCCGGUCCGGACACUAUUAGGACUGACAGAUUGAAAGCUCUUUCUCGAUUUGGUGGUUGGUGGUGCAUGGCCGUUCUUAGUUGGUGGAGUGAUUUGUCUGGUUUAUUCCGAUAACGAGCGAGACUCUAGCCUGCUAAAUAGUCGACGAAUCUUCGGGUUCGUAUAACUUCUUAGAGGGAUAAGCGGUGUUUAGCCGCACGAGAUUGAGCGAUAACAGGUCUGUGAUGCCCUUAGAUGUCCGGGGCUGCACGCGUGCUACACUGGUGGAGUCAGCGGGUUUUUCCUAUGCCGAAAGGUAUCGGUAAACCGUUGAACUUCUUCCAUGUCCGGGAUAGGGUAUUGUAAUUAUUACCCUUAAACGAGGAAUGCCUAGUAAGUGUGAGUCAUCAGCUCACGUUGAUUACGUCCCUGCCCUUUGUACACACCGCCCGUCGCUAUCCGGGACUGAACUGAUUCGAGAAGAGUGGGGACUGUGGCUGCGAGGUUUUACCACUUCGCAGUUGCGGAAACCAUUUUUAUCGCAUUGGUUUGAACCGGGUAAAAGUCGUAACAAGGUAGCUGUAGGUGAACCUGCAGCUGGAUCAUCG